UACGUAGGUGGCAAGCGUUGUCCGGAUUUACUGGGCGUAAAGAGCGCGCAGGCGGUCGUUCAAGUCGCGUGUGAAAGCCCCCGGCUCAACUGGGGAGGGUCACGCGAUACUGAUCGACUGGAAGGCAGGAGAGGGUAGUGGAAUUCCCGGUGUAGUGGUGAAAUGCGUAGAUAUCGGGAGGAACACCAGUGGCGAAGGCGACUACCUGGCCUGUUCUUGACGCUGAGGCGCGAAAGCUAAGGGAGCAAACGGG
rnacentral:rRNA from 1 species